GCUUGGAGGCUUCGGCUACAGGUAAGUAUCGCAAGAGAUGCGAUCGGGCUUGAGCAAGUCGGAGGCGUCGGCGGGAUAGGAGAAGGAGGUCGAGGCUCGUGGAGUUGAGUUCGGCUGUGAGGGCUGACGAGUGAAGGUUGAAAGAGGACGGAGUCAGUUCUGGGAGGUAGAUCGGAAGUUUGAGGACGUCACGACAGUGGAGCGGGGUCGGUUUGCAGCCAGCAAGUUGUGGGAGUCGAGUGUGGCGAGGUCUGGAGGUUGUUAUCGGAUGUGUCUAGUUGAAUCAAUGAGAAGAAGGGAAUCGUGAGGUCGGUUUAAGCUUGAGGAUUCGUGGGUUUCUAUGCAUGGUAGGCGAUCAAAAGGCAAGAGUUGUCAAAUGGAAGAAGGCUUCGACUCUAUUGGGUCGUGCGUGUUGGAAGAAACGAAAGCCUCGUUUCAUUGUCGUAUUUAACGACUCAAUUCGAACUGAUCUCUACAUGCGGGCGACAAGCACAACUGGGGCACUAUAACGACGACGGGUAUGGCUUCAGCAGCUUUCAUGCUAUUCCAUGAAUUGAGCUUCUCUACUUCAAUGGGCUGUCAAUCAGCUUGGUAAGCUGUUGGAUGUUCAUUGGCAUCCCCAUCCACCUGGUUGGAUCAAGGUUAAUGCGGAUGCUUCUCUACUUUAAUCCUAUAAAGGAGGUAUUGGAGGAGUAUGUAGAGAUUCCAAAGGCAGGUUCUUGUUAGCAUUUGGAUAUCCCAUUACUCAUUGGGACGUUUCAAGGCUUGAGAUGCUUGCUGUUCAAUCCGUUCAAGAUGUUUAUAAAGAUGGUAUGAUGAAUUAUGAUGACAUCAUCAUUGAAGAAGAUAAUGCAAAUGUAAUCAAGGACUUGCAAGAUGGUGCUAUUCACAAGAAUGAUGAUUUGAGAGGUAUGUUCAAAGAUUAUAGAAAUAUCAUUUUUAAUUGUUUAGAUAGGAAGUGUAAUAAGUUAACGGAUCUUUGUGCUAACUAUGCUAUUGUUACUUCCUUUAUUUGGGAUGAUUUAGUUCUUAAUAAGAUUCCUCCUUCCUUUAUCUCUUUGUUAAAGGAGGAAUUUUAUGGUUACCUUUAGCUUUUGCUUUUAGUUUUCAAUAAUAUUUAAAUGCACUUGGUUGCAUUUUCUUC